CCUACGGGGGGCAGCAGUGGGGAAUAUUGCACAAUGGGGGAAACCCUGAUGCAGCGACGCCGCGUGAGUGAAGAAGUAUUUCGGUACGUAAAGCUCUAUCAGCAGGGAAGAAAAUGACGGUACCUGACUAAGAAGCCCCGGCUAACUACGUGCCAGCAGCCGCGGUAAUACGUAGGGGGCAAGCGUUAUCCGGAUUUACUGGGUGUAAAGGGAGCGUAGACGGCAGCGCAGGUCUGGAGUGAAAUCCCAUGGCUUAACCAUGGAACUGCUUUGGAAACUGUGCAGCUAGAGUGCAGGAGAGGUAAGCGGAAUGCCUAGUGUAGCGGUGAAAUGCGUAGAUAUUAGGAGGAACACCAGUGGCGAAGGCGGCUUACUGGACUGUAACUGACGUUGAGGCUCGAAAGCGUGGGGAGCAAACAGGAUUAGAUACCCUGGUAGUC
rnacentral:rRNA from 1 species